AAGCUCGUAGUUGAAUUUCGGGCCCGUCCUGCCGGUCCGCCUCACCGCGAGUACUGGUCCGGAUGGGUCUUUCUUUCUGGGGAAUCCCAUGGCCUUCACUGGCUGUGGCGGGGAACCAGGACUUUUACUGUGAAAAAAUUAGAGUGUUCAAAGCAGGCCUUUGCUCGGAUACAUUAGCAUGGAAUAAUAAAAUAGGACGUGUGGUUCUAUUUUGUUGGUUUCUAGGACCGCCGUAAUGAUUAAUAGGGAUAGUUGGG
rnacentral:rRNA from 1 species